AGGUUAAGUUACAAAGGGCGCACGGUGGAUGCCUUGGCACUAGGAGCCGAUGAAGGACGGAACUAAUACCGAUAUGCUUCGGGGAGCUAUAAGUAAGCUUUGAUCCGGAGAUUUCCGAAUGGGGGAACCCAGUACACAUCAGUGUAUUGCUUGUCAGUGAAUACAUAGCUGGCCGGCGGCAGACGCGGGGAACUGAAACAUCUCAGUACCCGCAGGAAGAGAAAGAAAACUCGAUUCCCAUAGUAGCGGCGAGCGAAGUGGGAAGAGCCCAAACCGAGAAGCUUGCUUCUCGGGGUUGUAGGACUGGACAUUGGAGUUACCAAAGUCCGACGUAGUCGAAGUCAGCUGGAAAGCUGCGCCACAGAAGGUGAAAGCCCUGUAAGCGAAACGUCGAACCCUCCGUCCAGGAUCCUGAGUACGGCGGAACACGUGAAAUUCCGUCGGAAUCCGGGAGGACCAUCUCCCAAGGCUAAAUACUCCCUAGUGACCGAUAGUGAACCAGUACCGUGAGGGAAAGGUGAAAAGCACCCCGGAAGGGGAGUGAAACAGUUCCUGAAACCGUGUGCCUACAAUUAGUCAAAGCCCGUUAAUGGGUAAUGGCGUGCCUUUUGUAGAAUGAACCGGCGAGUUACGUUUGCUUGCGAGGUUAAGAUGAAAAGUCGGAGCCGUAGCGAAAGCGAGUCUGAACAGGGCGAAUGAGUAAGCAGAUGUAGACCCGAAACCAAGUGACCUACCCAUGACCAGGUUGAAGGUGUGGUGAAACACACUGGAGGACCGAACCCAUGUAUGUUGAAAAAUGCUGGGAUGAGUUGUGGGUAGCGGUGAAAUUCCAAACGAACUUGGAGAUAGCUGGUUCUCUCCGAAAUAGCUUUAGGGUUAGCCUCGGAGGAUGGAUCAUGGAGGUAGAGCACUGUUUGAACUAGGGGCCCAUCAAGGGUUACUGAAUUCAGAUAAACUCCGAAUACCAUCGAUCUUACUCCGGGAGUCAGACAGUGAGCGAUAAGGUCCAUUGUCGAAAGGGGAACAGCCCAGAUCACCAGUUAAGGUCCCUAAAUUUAUGCUAAGUGGAAAAGGAUGUGGCGUUGCACAGACAACUAGGAUGUUGGCUCAGAAGCAGCCACCAUUUAAAGAGUGCGUAAUAGCUCACUAGUCGAGUGGCACUGCGCCGAAAAUAUACCGGGGCUAAGCAUAAUACCGAAACUGUGGGUGCGCCCGUAAGGGUGCGCGGUAGGAGAGCGUUCUAAGGGCGUUGAAGGUCGAUCGUGAGGACGGCUGGAGCGCUUAGAAGUGAGAAUGCCGGCAUGAGUAGCGAAAGAUCAGUGAGAAUCUGAUCCACCGUAUGACUAAGGUUUCCUGGGAAGGCUCGUCCUCCCAGGGUUAGUCGGGAUCUAAGGCGAGGCCGAGAGGCGUAGUCGAUGACAAGCAGGUUGAGAUUCCUGCACUAGUUUAUUUUGUUUAAGCGAUGGAGGGACGCAGGAGGCUAAGGAAAGCGCACGGCUGGAAAUGUGCGCCCAAGCAGCAAGUCUGACAGCGAGUGAAAUGCUUGCAGUCUUAAGGACAAGCUGUGAUGGGGAGCGAAAUUAUAGUAGCGAAGUUCCUGAUGUCACACUGCCAAGAAAAGCUUCUAGUGAGAAAUAAACUACCCGUACCGCAAACCGACACAGGUAGUCGAGGAGAGUAUCCUCAGGUGAGCGAGCGAACUCUCGUUAAGGAACUCGGCAAAAUGACCCCGUAACUUCGGAAGAAGGGGUGCUGACUGCAAGGUCAGCCGCAGUGAAUAGGCCCAAACAACUGUUUAUCAAAAACACAGGUCUCUGCUAAAUCGUAAGAUGAUGUAUAGGGGCUGACGCCUGCCCGGUGCUGGAAGGUUAAGAGGAUGAGUUAGCGCAAGCGAAGCCCAGAAUUGAAGCCCCAGUAAACGGCGGCCGUAACUAUAACGGUCCUAAGGUAGCGAAAUUCCUUGUCGGGUAAGUUCCGACCCGCACGAAAGGCGUAAUGAUUUGGGCACUGUCUCAACGAGAGACUCGGUGAAAUUAUAGUACCCGUGAAGAUGCGGGUUACCCGCGACAGGACGGAAAGACCCCAUGGAGCUUUACUGUAGCUUGAUAUUGAGUGUUUGUACCGCUUGUACAGGAUAGGUAGGAGCCGUAGAGAUCGGAACGCUAGUUUCGAUGGAGGCGUUGGUGGGAUACUACCCUAGCUGUAUGAACACUCUAACCCGCGCCACUAAUCGUGGCGGGAGACAGUGUCAGGUAGGCAGUUUGACUGGGGCGGUCGCCUCCUAAAAUGUAACGGAGGCGCCCAAAGGUUCCCUCAGAAUGGUUAGAAAUCAUUCGCAGAGUGUAAAGGUAUAAGGGAGCUUGACUGCGAGACUGACAAGUCGAGCAGGGACGAAAGUCGGGCUUAGUGAUCCGGUGGUUCCGUAUGGAAGGGCCAUCGCUCAACGGAUAAAAGCUACCCUGGGGAUAACAGGCUUAUCUCCCCCAAGAGUCCACAUCGACGGGGAGGUUUGGCACCUCGAUGUCGGCUCAUCGCAUCCUGGGGCUGUAGUCGGUCCCAAGGGUUGGGCUGUUCGCCCAUUAAAGCGGUACGCGAGCUGGGUUCAGAACGUCGUGAGACAGUUCGGUCCCUAUCCGUCGCGGGCGCAGGAAAUUUGAGAGGAGCUGUCCUUAGUACGAGAGGACCGGGAUGGACGUUCCGCUGGUGUACCAGUUGUGCCGCCAGGCGCAUCGCUGGGUAGCUAUGAACGGCAGGGAUAAACGCUGAAAGCAUCUAAAUGUGAAGCCCCCCUCGAGAUGAGAUUUCCCAUUCCUAUAUGGAAGUAAGACCCCUGAGAGAUGAUCAGGUAGAUAGGCUGGAAGUGGAAGUGCAGCGAUGCAUGGAGCGGACCAGUACUAAUCGGUCGAGGACUUAACCAAG
rnacentral:rRNA from 1 species